rnacentral:rRNA from 1 species
AUUCCAGCUCCAAUAGCGUAUAUUAAAGUUGUUGCAGUUAAAAAGCUCGUAGUUGAAUUUUGGGUUCGGUUUGGCGGUCUAAUCGAAAAGGUUAGCUUACUGCUAAGGCCGAAUCUUUACCUUCUGGGGAACAUGGAUGUCAUUCAUUUGGUGUCUAUGGGAGCCAGGACUUUUACUUUGAAAAAAUUAGAGUGUUUAAAGCAAGCUUACGCUUGAAUACAUUAGCAUGGAAUAAUAGAAUAGGACUUUGGUUCUAUUUUGUUGGUUUCUAGGACUGAAGUAAUGAUUAAUAGGGUCAGUCGGGGGCAUUAGUAUUUAAUUGUCAGAGGUGAAAUUCUUGGAUUUAUGAAAGACUAACUUCUGCGAAAGCAUUUGCCAAGGAUGUUUUCAUUA